rnacentral:rRNA from 1 species
GACGAACCGUGCGAACGUUGUUCGGAAUCACUGGGCUUAAAGGGCGCGUAGGCGGGCUGCCAAGUCCGGGGUGAAAUCUUUCGGCUCAACCGGAAAAGUGCCUUGGAUACUGGGUGCCUCGAGGGUGGUAGGGGUAUGCGGAACUAUCGGUGGAGCGGUGAAAUGCGUUGAUAUCGAUAGGAACUCCGGUGGCGAAGGCGGCAUACUGGACCACUUCUGACGCUGAGGCGCGAAAGCCAGGGGAGCAAACGGG